GACGUAGGGAGCGAGCGUUAUCCGGAUUCAUUGGGCGUAAAGCGCGCGUAGGCGGCCGCGCAAGUCGGGUGUGAAAACCAGAGGCUCAACCUCUGGCCUGCAUCCGAAACUGCGUAGCUUGAGGUAGGUAGGGGAGAUCGGAAUUCCUGGUGUAGCGGUGAAAUGCGCAGAUAUCAGGAGGAACACCGGUGGCGAAGGCGGAUCUCUGGGCCUUACCUGACGCUGAGGUGCGAAAGCUAGGGGAGCGAACAGG
rnacentral:rRNA from 1 species